rnacentral:rRNA from 1 species
UGGGGAAUUUUGGUCAAUGGGCGAAAGCCUGAACCAGCAACGCCGCGUGCAGGAUGAAGGCCCUCGGGUCGUAAACUGCUGUCACGAGGGAAGAACUGUCCGGUGAUCAAUACCCACCGGAUUUGACGGUACCUCAGAAGGAAGGACCGGCUAACUCCGUGCCAGCAGCCGCCGUAAUACGGAGGGAGCAAGCGUUGUUCGGAAUUACUGGGCGUAAAGCGCGUGUAGGCGGCUUGGUAAGUCGGAUGUGAAAUCCCAGGGCUCAACCCUGGAACUGCAUCCGAAACUGCCUCGCUAGAGUCCCGGAGAGGAAGGCAGAAUUCCCAGUGUAAGGGUGAAAUCCGUAGAUAUUGGGAGGAAUACCAGUGGCGAAGGCGGCCUUCUGGACGGUGACUGACGCUCAGACGCGAAAGCGUGGGGAGCAAACAGGAUUAGA